rnacentral:rRNA from 1 species
UUAGAGUUUGAUCCUGGCUCAGGAUGAACGCUAGCGGCAGGCUUAACACAUGCAAGUCGAGGGGCAGCGAGAUCAGUGCUUGCACUGAUUGUCGGCGACCGGCGCACGGGUGCGUAACGCGUAUGCAACCUACCCAUUACAGGGGGAUAACACUGAGAAAUCGGUACUAAUACCCCAUAACAUCCAGGGAGGCAUCUUCUUGGGUUGAAAACUCCGGUGGUAAUGGAUGGGCAUGCGUUGUAUUAGUUAGUUGGUGGGGUAACGGCUCACCAAGACAACGAUACAUAGGGGGACUGAGAGGUUAACCCCCCACAUUGGUACUGAGACACGGACCAAACUCCUACGGGAGGCAGCAGUGAGGAAUAUUGGUCAAUGGACGCAAGUCUGAACCAGCCAUGCCGCGUGCAGGAAGACGGCUCUAUGAGUUGUAAACUGCUUUUGUACGAGGGUAAACGCAGAUACGCGUAUCUGUCUGAAAGUAUCGUACGAAUAAGGAUCGGCUAACUCCGUGCCAGCAGCCGCGGUAAUACGGAGGAUUCAAGCGUUAUCCGGAUUUAUUGGGUUUAAAGGGUGCGUAGGCGGUCGGAUAAGUUAGAGGUGAAAUCCCGGGGCUCAACUUCGGAAUUGCCUCUGAUACUGUUCGGCUAGAGAGUAGUUGCGGUAGGCGGAAUGUAUGGUGUAGCGGUGAAAUGCUUAGAGAUCAUACAGAACACCGAUUGCGAAGGCAGCUUACCAAGCUACUUCUGACGUUGAGGCACGAAAGCGUGGGGAGCAAACAGGAUUAGAUACCCUGGUAGUCCACGCAGUAAACGAUGAUAACUCGUUGUCGGCGAUACAGUGUCGGUGACUAAGCGAAAGCGAUAAGUUAUCCACCUGGGGAGUACGUUCGCAAGAAUGAAACUCAAAGGAAUUGACGGGGGCCCGCACAAGCGGAGGAACAUGUGGUUUAAUUCGAUGAUACGCGAGGAACCUUACCCGGGCUUGAAAGUUAGUGACGGAUCUUGAAAGAGGUCUUCCCUUCGGGGCACGAAACUAGGUGCUGCAUGGUUGUCGUCAGCUCGUGCCGUGAGGUGUCGGGUUAAGUCCCAUAACGAGCGCAACCCCUACCGUUAGUUGCCAGCAGGUCAAGCUGGGCACUCUGACGGGACUGCCGGUGUAAGCCGAGAGGAAGGUGGGGAUGACGUCAAAUCAGCACGGCCCUUACGUCCGGGGCUACACACGUGUUACAAUGGCAGGUACAGAGGGCAGCUACCCAGCGAUGGGAUGCGAAUCUCGAAAGCCUGUCUCAGUUCGGAUUGGAGGCUGAAACCCGCCUCCAUGAAGUUGGAUUCGCUAGUAAUCGCGCAUCAGCCAUGGCGCGGUGAAUACGUUCCCGGGCCUUGCACGCACCGCCCGUCA